rnacentral:rRNA from 1 species
AUAUGAAGCCCAAAGUCAUCUUGGAAGCUAAGCAUGGUUGGGCCUGGUUAGUACCUGGAUGGGAGACUACCUAGGAAGACCAGGUGCUGUAGGAA